rnacentral:rRNA from 1 species
CGGGAACCCGGUGACAGGUGCUGCAUGGCUGUCGUCAGCUCGUGUCGUGAGAUGUUGGGUUAAGUCCCGCAACGAGCGCAACCCUCGACCUUAGUUGCCAGCAUUCAGUUGGGCACUCUAAAGAGACUGCCGGUGUCAAACCGGAGGAAGGUGGGGAUGACGUCAAGUCCUCAUGGCCUUUAUGACCAGGGCUACACACGUACUACAAUGGCCGGUACAAAGGGCAGCCACUUAGCGAUAAGGAGCCAAUCCCGUAAAGCCGGUCUCAGUCCGGAUUGGAGUCUGCAACUCGACUCCAUGAAGUUGGAAUCGCUAGUAAUCGCAGAUCAGCACGCUGCGGUGAAUACGUUCCCGGGCCUU